rnacentral:lncRNA from 1 species
AUGGUGUUUUGUUUUUUUUUUUCAGAGACAUUCAGGCACCUUUCCAACUUCGUGCAUACUCUCAGGAAUUUAAAAUUAAUUUCCAGAUACAUCUACAAUGCUGUGCCUUCAAGUGGUGCGUACUGGAAGAUCACUAUAUUAUCAACUUGGCUGGCUGCUUCUACUGUCUCUCUCUCACUUGGAGCUCGAGUCAGGGCUGACAACCCGUGUGUUACAGUAACUAGAUGGAAUGCAACAGCUCCAGAAAACUGCCAAGAAGCAAGCAUAAAAUCUAGGCAUCCGGGAGGCAGCUGGGCUUCUUAAUUAUUGGCAAAUAUAUUUAUAUAUAAAUAUUUUGCCAAGCGUGAUUUGGCUUAAGAGUUCCUGUGAAGUGACCUUUUGCUUUCCUUUGUUUUGUGUCUGUACACAUGUCCUAGAUAGAUACAUGGAGAGAGAGGCAGAGACGCACAGACAGAGAUAAAUAAACGGAUUUCACACAGCCCUCCA